rnacentral:rRNA from 1 species
GCUUAACACAUGCAAGUCGAGGGGCAGCGGGGAGGAAGCUUGCUUUCUCCGCCGGCGACCGGCGCACGGGUGAGUAACACGUAUGCAACCUGCCCCUGUCAGGGGGACAACCCGCCGAAAGGCGGGCUAAACCCGCGUACAUGCCACCGGGGCAUCCCGGAGGCAGGAAAGGCUUCGGCCGGACAGGGAUGGGCAUGCGGCGCAUUAGGCAGUAGGCGGGGUAACGGCCCACCUAACCGACGAUGCGUAGGGGUUCUGAGAGGAAGGUCCCCCACACUGGUACUGAGACACGGACCAGACUCCUACGGGAGGCAGCAGUGAGGAAUAUUGGUCAAUGGUCGGGAGACUGAACCAGCCAAGCCGCGUGAGGGAUGAAGGUACAGAGUAUCGUAAACCUCUUUUGUCAGGGAACAAAGGCGGGGACGUGUCCCCGGAUGAGUGUACCUGAAGAAAAAGCAUCGGCUAACUCCGUGCCAGCAGCCGCGGUAAUACGGAGGAUGCGAGCGUUAUCCGGAUUUAUUGGGUUUAAAGGGUGCGCAGGCGGUCUGUUAAGUCAGCGGUCAAAGCCCGGGGCUCAACCCCGGCCCGCCGUUGAAACUGGCAGUCUCGAGUUGGAGAGAAGUAUGCGGAAUGCGCGGUGUAGCGGUGAAAUGCAUAGAUAUCGCGCAGAACUCCGAUUGCGAAGGCAGCAUGCCGGCUCCACACUGACGCUGAGGCACGAAAGCGUGGGUAUCGAACAGGAUUAGAUACCCUGGUAGUCCACGCAGUAAACGAUGAAUGCUGGCUGUCCGGGGGGACUGACCCCUGGGUGGCGAAGCGAAAGCGAUAAGCAUUCCACCUGGGGAGUACGCCGGCAACGGUGAAACUCAAAGGAAUUGACGGGGGCCCGCACAAGCGGAGGAACAUGUGGUUUAAUUCGAUGAUACGCGAGGAACCUUACCCGGGCUCAAACGGGGAGUGACUCAGGCAGAGACGCCUGUUUCCCACGGGACACUCCCCGAGGUGCUGCAUGGUUGUCGUCAGCUCGUGCCGUGAGGUGUCGGCUUAAGUGCCAUAACGAGCGCAACCCCCGCGUGCAGUUGCUAACAGAUAACGCUGAGGACUCUGCACGGACUGCCGGCGCAAGCCGCGAGGAAGGCGGGGAUGACGUCAAAUCAGCACGGCCCUUACGUCCGGGGCGACACACGUGUUACAAUGGGUGGUACAGCGGGAAGCCAGGCGGCGACGCCGAGCGGAACCCGAAAUCCACUCUCAGUUCGGAUCGGAGUCUGCAACCCGACUCCGUGAAGCUGGAUUCGCUAGUAAUCGCGCAUCAGCCAUGGCGCGGUGAAUACGUUCCCGGGCCUUGUACACACCGCCCGUCAAGCCAUGGGAGCCGAGGGCGCUUGAAGU